CUAUUAUCUUGUUUUGUUCCUUGAGCUUUAUAGCUCUUAGCUUACCCAUUAACAUUACCUCUAAUCUCUCUGUUUUUGUGUUAUUUUCAAUCUUCUAGAGACAUAUUGAUGAUGUUAGGAGCUCAAUUUCAAGUCCAUGUAGUGAAUAAUUUGAGGGUUUUAAGAGAUGAAAAGAAUGCAUAUAAUGGUGGUUCGAUGUCGAAUUCAAGUGGGUUUUUGUCAAUUCAAUUGGGUUUUGAAAGAAGCUUAAGAUUACAGUGUAACCGUGUUAAGAAAUCAAUCUUUAUCUCUUGUAAAUCUUCUAGUGGAAGCCCAUUUGAUGAUGGUAGAUCCACCAAUAUUCCUGAUGAUCAUGAUCAUGACUUUCUUCAAGCUUCUCUUCUCAUUUCAGAAACUGCGUUGCACUAUCGAAUGCGGAGGCAAGGAUUUCAAGAAGAAACAACAUGGCGAUUACCUGGUAGAUGGAGCCCUUUUUCUGCCAUGAUAAGGGAAUCAAGACGUGAUACUAGUUUUGUAGGAUAUGAAUUUCUUCGUCGGUUCCAGAGUCCUACUAUUUUUCUUAAAGUUUCAUGUGAUGGCGACUUCCUGUUACCAAUUAUUGUCGGGGAGUUUGCUAUUGAGAAACUUAUAGAUGCCUUGCGCGGAGGAGAUGGAAAUGAUGAUGGGGAUUGUCCAGACCAGUUUCAGCUCGUGAGGAAUUUGGUGGAUAGACUUGGAUAUGAGGUAAAAAUGGUGAGAAUUACAGAGAGAGUAGCUAAUACUUACUUUGCAAGAGUUUUUUUGAGCAAGCCAGGGGAAAAUGAAGUUGUGAGCAUAGAUGCACGACCCUCUGAUGCCAUAAAUAUGGCACAUAGAUGCAAGGCUCCAAUUCAUGUAAGUAAACAAAUUGUCUUCACUGACGCCAUCAGAAUUAGUUAUGGGAUGGGAAGAGUGCAUGAUAGGAAGCCUACUUAUGAUGUAACCCUUGACAGUGCUGCUGAUGGUCCAGAUUCACUAGCUGAGGAACUGGAGCUUGUCAGAAAUAUGAAUUCAGCUGUUAAAGAGGAAAGAUUCAAUGAUGCAGUGAGUGCUUGUGCAUAAUAGAAUCAUUUUAAAUUGAUUGCUGAUUCCUGUAGCCAUGUGGAGAGACAAAUUGAUGCAGCUUCGCCAGUCAAUGCAUGACCAUUAGCUGAUCUUUAGGAUUUGAUUUCUUGGAAUCCUGACUUCCCGUGCAUGGUUUCUGGCUGAGUUCGUUGCUGGUCUCUCUAUCCUUCAUUGAGAUGCAGUUUCCCCAAAAAUGUCUGGUGUAGCAUUUUUUUCUAUAGGCUUAUGCAAGUGAGAGAACAGUCCGAGGCAUUCACGUAUAUUCAAAGAAACUCGAAAUGAUGGUAUGUACAGCUAAAUACUUGCAUCAAAAUAUGAUGUGCCUGAUGAGCAAAUUAAGAGCUUGUGUUCCCUGGAAUUGUUCAAAAUCAAGAAGAUGAUCAAUUCUCUAAUGCACGGGGAUAUCAUUAGUUCAAUUAGAUUGUAACUUUUUGUAUAUGCUGUUACAAUUAAUAAAAGGUUGCUUACUGAGAAAGAUGUAUCAAGUUGAUUCUUGUGAUACUAAAGCGAAGACUUCCUUGGUUCAGAUGUCUUUCUACAAUGAUGAUGAGAUGUGUUUUAUGUGCCUA